UACGGGGGGGGCAAGCGUUGUUCGGAAUUACUGGGCGUAAAGGGUUCGUAGGUGGCCUACUAAGUCAGACGUGAAAUCCCUCGGCUCAACCGGGGAACUGCGUCUGAUACUGGAUGGCUUGAAUUCGGGAGAGGGAUGCGGAAUUCCAGGUGUAGCGGUGAAAUGCGUAGAUAUCUGGAGGAACACCGGUGGCGAAGGCGGCAUCCUGGACCGAGAUUGACGCUGAUGCGCGAAAGCCAGGGGAGCAAACGGG
rnacentral:rRNA from 1 species